UACGUAGGGGGCAAGCGUUGUCCGGAUUUAUUGGGCGUAAAGAGCGUGUAGGCGGCCAGGUAGGUCCGUUGUGAAAACUCGAGGCUCAACCUCGAGACGUCGAUGGAAACCAUCUGGCUAGAGUCCGGAAGAGGAGAGUGGAAUUCCUGGUGUAGCGGUGAAAUGCGCAGAUAUCAGGAAGAACACCUAUGGCGAAGGCAGCUCUCUGGGACGGUACUGACGCUGAGACGCGAAAGCGUGGGGAGCGAACAGG
rnacentral:rRNA from 1 species